UUCAGAACCUUAUUUUAAAGUGGAUCCUGGG
rnacentral:piRNA from 1 species